CGCUGUGCGCCUCUCCGCCCCUGUGCGCCUCUCCGCCGCUGUGCGCCUCUCCGCCGCUGUCCGCCUCUCCGCCGCUGUCCGCCUCUCCGCCGCUGUCCGCCUCUCCGCCGCGCCGCCGCCGCCCGCCUCGCCGCCGCCGCCCGCCUCGCCGCCGCCGCCCGCCUCUCCGCCGCGCCGCCGCCGCCCGCCUCUCCGCCGCGCCGCCGCCGCCCGCCUCUCCGCCGCGCCGCCGCCGCCGCCCGCCUCUCCGCCGCGCCGCCGCCGCCCGCCUCUCCGCCGCGCCGCCGCCGCCCGCCUCUCCGCCGCGCCGCCGCCGACCGCCUCUCCGCCGCUGUCCGCUUCUCCGCCACGCCGGCACCGGCGCUGUGUGCCUUUGCAAGGGCGGAGCUGCGUUCUCCUCGGCACAGACCCGGAGAGCAUUGCGAGGGCGGAGCUGCGUUCUGCUCUGCAUAGACCUUGGGGCACUGCCUCGCUUUGGGACAACUCGGGGCCGCAUCGACGGUGAAUAAAAUCCUUCCUGUUUGCAGCCAUGUUUGUGGUUGGUGGCAGCGAUGGACACUGCAGCCAGCCAGAGUGUAGAAAGGCAUUGGGUGAAAGAAGAUUGCCACGGAGACAGACAGCAGCAUGGUCAGUGUGGUAGGAGCCGGCCAUCAGCGAGAGCUGCUCCAUGCCUGGCUGCUGGGAGCUAGAGCCUGCGGCCCACUGGCUUGCCUCACUGUAGUUGGUGGUGGCAGUGACAGAGACUGCAGCAUGACCAGAGUGGCUUUUCUGGCUUUGCCCGCCCAGCUGCUCCAUGCCAGGAGGAGGAGGAGACACCUAGAGCCUGCAACACCACGGCUCACCUCGCUGCGGGUGGGUGGCAGUGACGGAGACUGCAGUGCACCAUAGCGGUAGGAGAGUGGCCACGCUAGGAGGGCGGGCGGCUGCAGGCAGGGUUGGGAGUCAGGCUUACAGCGAUGGACAGGCUGCAGCAGUGGCCAGGUGGUAGGAGCCUUGUAGGGAGGGGUGGUGCAUUGGCAAUGGGCCUGGCUUUGCCCUGUGCCUGCCGUGGAUCUGGCCCUGUACUGCCCUGCCUUGCCCUGUACCUGCCCUACUGUUACCUGGACUCUCAGCCCUGUCCUGCUCUGGUCCCAUCCUGACCCUGUCUUGGCCCCGUGCUACCCUGUCCCUGCCCUGGUCUUGCCCUGGCACUGGCCCUGCCCUGAACGUGCACUGGCCUGACCUUGGUUCUGGCCCUGGCUCUGGCCCUGCCCCUUGUCCUGACCCUGGUCCUGUCAUGGCACUGGCCCUGCCAGUGGUCAUGGUCCUGCUCCUGUUCUGGCCCUGACCUGGCCUUGGAAAUGUCCUGGCUCUGCUUUGGCCCAUCCCUGCCCUGGCCCCACCAUGGGCCUUCCUGUUCUGCCCUCUCCUGGCACUGACCUGGCCCUGUCAUGGCCCAGUGGUGCCAUUGCCCUGCCUUACCCUGCGCUGGUUGUGCCUUGGCCCCGCUUGGUGCUGGCCGCUUCCUGGACCUGCCCUGGACCUGCCCUGACCCUGCCUUGGCUUUUGCCCUGCCCUCACUAUGGCCUGGCCCUGGCCCUAGCCCUGGUCCUGCCAUAUCCCUGACCCUGCCCUUAUCCAGGCCCUGCCCCUGCUGCUGCCCUGGCCCUGGCCUGGAACCUGGUCCUGUCAAGGACCUGCCCUGACUCUGCCAUGGCCCUGGCCCUGCUCUGCCUUGUUCCUGGCCCUGACCCAGACCCAGACCCUUUCCUGGCUCUGCACUGGCCUUUCCCUGGCCCUGAGCUGGCAGUGGUCUGCCCCUGGUCUUGCCAUCACCCUGCCCUGCUGUGCUCUGGAUGUGUCAUCACCCUGCCCUGGCUCUACUCUGCCUUUGACCCUGCCCUGGCCUUGCCUUGGCCCUCACCCUAGUCUUCGCUAGGCCCAGCACAGACCUGGCUCUGACCCUGGCCCUGGUCUUUGUCCUGCCAUAGCUUUGGCCCUGAAGUGGACUUGGAGGUGUCCUGGCCCCGGUGUAACAUGGCUCUGCAUUGGCCUGUCUCUGCCCUGCCCCUACCAUCGCCUUGCCCUGCUCUGCCCUGUCCCAGUACUGACCCGGCCACGCUAUUUCCCCGCCCUACCCUGCCUUGGCUGUGCCCUGGCUCGGUUCUGGCCCUGGCCCCGGCCCUGCCCUGGACAUGCUCUGACACUGCCUCAGCCUUGGCACUAGCCUGGCUCAUUCUUGGCAUCAGCCCUGCUCUCUCUGUGGACCGGCUCUUGUCCUGUCCUGCACUGGCCAUACCAUGCCCUGCCCUGCCCUGCCCUGACUCAGCCCUGACUCAGCCUUGGCCUUGGCAUUGCCCCUGGUCCUGCCAUAUUUCUUGCCCUGUCCCUACCCUAGCCUUGGCCCUGACCCUUACCUUGCUCUGGCCCUGCCCUUGCCCUAAUGCAGCCCCUGGCCCUGUCAUGACCCUGCCCUGGACCUGUCCUGGCCCUGGCCCUUCCCUGCUUGAGACCUUGCCCUGGUUCUCCCAUGGCCCUGACCCUGAAAUGCCUGGCCCUACCCUGGCCUUGCCCUGCUCUGGCCCUUGCCCUGACUCUGGUCCUGUCACUGACCUAGCCCCAGCCCUGUUGCUGGUCUUACCAUGGCCCAGACCCUGCCUUGGCCCUGCCCUGACACUGUCCUGGACCCUGGCUGUGCCAAGAACCUGCACUGUCCUUGCCCUUGUUUUGCUCCUGCCCCGAACCUGGUCCUGCCCAGGCCGUUUCUAUGGCCCUGGCCCUGGCCCUGCCCAGGUCUUGGCACUGGCCUGGCCCUGCCCUGCCCUGGCCCUAUGCUUUCCUGGCCCUGCCUUGGCCCUAGCCUGGCUUUGACCCUGCCCUGGCCCUACCUUGGCCUUCACCCUAGCCUUACCAGGGCACUGUGUUGGACCUGGCCAUAGCACAGACCUGGUUGUGGCCCUGGCCCAGACCCUAGCCCUGCAGGUACCGGUCCUGGCCCAGCUCUGGGCCUGGCUUUGUCCCUAAUUCUUAGAUGACCCUGGCCCUGCCCCUGCCCUUGCCCUUGCCCUGGCACUGGCCUUGGACAUGUCCGUGGUCCUAACCCUGGCCCUGCCCUGGAGCUGCCACUGUCUUGGCCCUGCCCUGGCUCUGGCCCUGCCCCGGCCCUGGCCCUGCCCCGGCCCCAGCCAUAGACCUGCCCUGGUUGGUCGUGCCCUACCUUAACCCUGUGCUACCCUGGGCCUGCUCAACCCUGCCCUGGCCCUGCCCUCCCUUUGGCCCUGCCCUGACCCCGUCUUGGCCCUCACACUGGCCCUAGCACAGACCUGGUCCUAUCUGUGGCCUUGGCCUGGCAUUGACCCCUGCUCCUGACCCUGGUCCUGCCAUGGCCCUGGCCCUGCCAAUGACCCUGGCAGCCCUUACCCUGGCCCUGAACUGGCCCUGCCCUGACCCUGGCCCUGAAGUGGAUUUGCAGGUGUCUUGUCCAUGGUUUAACCUGGUCUUACCAUGGCCCUGUCCCUCCCCUGGCUCUGUCCUGGUCUUAUGCUGACCCUGACCCAGACCUUGGCCCUGCCACAGCCUUGUCCUAGACCUGGCCAUGGCCCUGCGUCUGCCCUGGACCGGCGCUGGCACUGGCAUGGACCCUGGCCCUGGCCCUUCACUACUUAAGGCCAUACCCUGGCCCAGCCCUGGCCCUAAUUUGGCCUGGCUCUACCCUGGCAUGCUCUUCUGGCCCUAGCCCUGACCCUGUCCCUGUCCCUGUCCUGGUCCUAGCCCCGUUGCUGGUCCUGCCAUGGCCCUUGUCCUGACAUUGCCCUUUCCUGGUUCUGGCCCUGGCCCUGUCCCAGCCCUGCUCUGGCCCUGGUCUGAACCCUGGCCCUGCAAUAGACCUGCCUUAGUCCUGCCCAGACCCUGGCUCUGGCCCUACCUCUGCCCUGGCCAUACCCUUGCCCUGGCCUGGACCCCGGUCCUGGUCCUUGUCCUGCCCCAGCCGUGGCCCUGGCCCUGCCCUGCCUGUGCCCUGUUCUAUCCUGGGCUGGCCCUGCCAUGGCCUGGUCUUGCCAUUGCCCUGCCCUAGCUUGCCCUGCUUGUGCCCUAGAUCUGCCCCGCUUGUGCCCUAGAUCUGCCCCGGCCUUUGCCCCAUCUUGGUUCUAGCCUUGACUCAGCCCUGGACCUUCCCUGACCUUGCCUCAGCCCUGGCACUACCCUGGCAUUGCCUUGGCAUUUGCCCUACUCUCUCUAUGGCCUGGCUGUGGUCCUGCCCUGCUCUGCUCUUGUUCUGUCCUGGCACAGCCCUGGCCCUGGCCCUGGCCCUGCCGUAUCACUGGCUCUGGUCCUGCCCUUAUGCAGACCUGACCCUGCCACUGCCUUGGCUUUGGCCUGGACCUUGGCCAUACAGUGACCCUGCCAUGACAUUUUCCUGGUCCUGGCCUGGAACCUGGCCCUGCCAAGGACUCGCCCUGGCUCUGUCAUGGCCCUGGCCCGUUCCUGGAUUUGGAUGUGUCCUGUCCCUUAUUUGCCCCGGCCCUUCCCUGGCUCUGCCAUACCCCUUCUCUGGGGUAGGGCCAGGGUCAGGACCAGACCAGGGCAGGGUCAGGACCAGGGUAGGGCCAUGUUAAGGCCUGAAGAUGGGAAGGGCCAGGGCAGCGGCUGGACCAGGGAAUGGUCAGGGCCAGGGAUGUAGUAGGACUAGGGGCAGAGCCGGCACUAGGGCUGAGCCAGGGCAGAGCAGGAGAGAUUACUUUAGGCUAUUACUAAAAUUUUUAUUUUAGAUUUUUAAGAUAACUAUAGUAGUAGUAAUGUCUAUACUAUGUUGUUUGUAAUAGUAAUAAUACUUGCAGUAAUCACUAAAUUUUAACUAAUACUAUCUUUGCUUCCAGUAGUGUUCUAUGAGUAUAAUUUUAUCAACAUGUAAAUAUGUGAGGCAUUGAUUCUUGUAAUAAUUCUAUAUGCUAGGUACUUAAAGCAUCCCCAUUUUCCAAAUGUAGGAAACAGGCAUAAAGAAGGUAAAUACUUGGCCAGAUUACUCCUGUAAUCCCAGCACUUUGGGAGGCCAAGGCAGGCAGAUGGCUUGAGCUCAGGAGUUUGGAACCAGCCUGGGCAACGUUGUGAAACCCCAUCUCUACUAAAAAUGCACAAAAAGAACUAAUUUAAGUUUCUUGUAGGAUUCUGGUUAUAAAACACUGGUCAAACACACAGGGCAUGGAUAGGGCAGGGCCAGGGACAAGGUCAGGCCAGGAAGGGGCCAGGGCCAAGGCAGGGCCAGAGCUGGACUUGGAGGUGUCCUGGUCUGAUUUGCCCUGCCCCAAAGUUGGCCCAGCCCUGCUCUGGCAUGUCCUGUCAUGCCCUUUCCCUGGCCUGAGCAUUGGCCCUGGCCCUGUCCUGCUUCUGGCCCUGCCCCGGAGUUGACCAGGCACUUCCAUGGCCCAGUCCUGCAUUGCCCUGCCCUCCUCUGCCCUGGUGCUACCAUGGCCCUGCUUGGGCCCUAGCUCUGCCUCGACUCUGGACCUGCCCUGACUCUGCUCAGCCCUGGAUCUACCCUGACUCUGCCUUGGUGUUGCCCUCCCAUCUCUAUGGCCUGGCUCUGGCCAUGCCUUGCACAGACCAUGCUCUGCCCUGCGUGCCCCAGCCUGGGCCCAGCCCUCAUCCUACCAUAUUCCUGACCCCAGCCAUACCCUUGUUCUCGCCAUGACCCUGCCAUGGCCCUCUCCUGGCCCUUCCUUGAUCCUGCCCUGCCCUUCCAUGCCCUGGCCUUGCCCUCACCCUGCAUUGGCCCUGCACUGGUCCUGCCCUGCCCUGACACUGCCUUGGCCCCGGCCCUGCCUUCUUCCUGGCCUUGCCUUUGCCCUGCCCUGGCCUGACCCCAGGUCUACUGAGUCCAUGAAAUGGCCCUGGACCUGCCUUGCCAUCCUCUGUCCUGGCCCUAUAUUGUCCCCACCAUGCUCUGGUCCAGCGCUUGCCCUAGCCCUGUUGCUAGUCCUGCCACUGCUAUGGCCCUGCUCUGUUUUUGGCCGUGCCUUGUGCUACCCUAGCCCUGCCCUGCCUUGGCCUUGGCCCUACCAUGGCCUUCUCCUACCCUGGCCUGGCCCUACCCUGGCCUUCUCCUACCCUGGCCUGGCCCUACCCUGGCCUUUUCUACCCUGGCCUUGCCCUUCCCUGGUCUUGCCCUGCCCUGGCCUUGCCCUGCCCUGGCCUUGGCUUUGCCUUAUCCUGGUCCUGGUUCUGCCCUGACCCUGGCCUUGCUCUGGAUCCUCUCUGGUUCUGCUUUCUCCCUGGCCCUGCCCUUGCUCUGGCCCUGUCCCUGGACCAGCCUUGACCCUGACCCUGACAAUCCCCAGGUCUGACACUGGCCAUGCUUGGCCCUGGCCCCUCCUUUUGGCCCUGCCUUAGCCCUGUGCUAUCUUAGUCCUGCCCUGGCCCUGAACUCACCCUGGUCCUACCCUCACCCUACACUGGCCCUGCCCUAUCCUGGCCUUGCCCUGCCCUGGCCCUGCCUUUGGCCUGCUCUGGCUCUGGUUCUGCCCUGGACUUGCCCUUGCCCUGGACCCUCCCUGGCCAUGUUUUUCCCAUGGUCCUUCUCUGGCCUUGCCCUUGCCCUGUCCCCUUUCUGGUCCUGCCAUGUUUCUGGCCCUGCCCUGUCCAUGUCCUGGACCUGACUCUGGCCCUGGACCUCCCUGUCCCUGCCCUGCCAUACCCUGGCCCGUUCCUUGCUCUACACUGACCCUGCCCUGCCUUGGCCCUGUGCCACCCUAGCCCUGCCCUGGCCUUCUGCUGACCCUGAUCCUGCCAUGGCCCUGGCCCUGCCAUGUCCCUGCCCUGGCCCUGGUUCUUCCCUGCUUCUGGACCUGGCCUUGGUCCUCUCAUGUCCCUGGCUGUGACCCUGCCCCUGGUUUUUCUCUGGCCAUGACCCUGCCCCAGUUCUGUCCUAUCCCUGGCCCUGUCUCAGUUCUGUCCUAGCCCUGGCCUUUCACAGUACUUUAUGCUUAGUAAGGGCUCCAUGGUGUCUGUGAGUUGAAUGUUGUGUUCAUAGUAUCUGCCAAAACAGAAAGAAAAAAGUAAAAUAUUUUGAUAAGAAGUUAAAGCUUUGUAUAUAAUAUGCCUUGAAUUGUAAGUGCCUGUUAUUAGUUGUAUUACAUAUGGGUCAUGGCUUUGUACACGUAACUCCAAACCAUUGAUACUGUUAAAAGGAUAUAUGAAUAUAUGAAAGAAUGUAUAAACGUAAGAAUGUAUCAGUAUCUAAUGACCUUUCCAAAUUAAUUUUUAUUUUUAGCUCUAUUAGAUUUUUCUCAGUGUAACAAAUGUUUAUUCCUAUGUAAUUAAGGGUGUGUUUCCUGUACAGAAUAUUCAUAAUACCUAAUUGAAAAUUAUAUGAUACAAAAAUAUAAUACUAUUUUUAGGCCAAGCAUGGUGGCUCAUACCUGUAAUCCCAACA